UACAGAGGGUGCAAGCGUUAAUCGGAAUUACUGGGCGUAAAGCGCGCGUAGGUGGUUCGUUAAGUUGGAUGUGAAAUCCCUGGGCUCAACCUGGGAACUGCAUUCAAAACUGUCGAGCUAGAGUAUGGUAGAGGGUGGUGGAAUUUCCUGUGUAGCGGUGAAAUGCGUAGAUAUAGGAAGGAACACCAGUGGCGAAGGCGACCACCUGGACUGAUACUGACACUGAGGUGCGAAAGCGUGGGGAGCAAACAGG
rnacentral:rRNA from 1 species